rnacentral:rRNA from 1 species
UACGUAGGUGGCAAGCGUUGUCCGGAUUUACUGGGCGUAAAGGGAGCGUAGGCGGAUACUUAAGUGGGAUGUGAAAUACCUGGGCUUAACUUGGGUGCUGCAUUCCAAACUGGGUGUCUAGAGUGUUGGAGAGGAAAGUGGAAUUCCUAGUGUAGCGGUGAAAUGCGUAGAGAUUAGGAAGAACACCAGUGGCGAAGGCGACUUUCUGGACAAAAACUAAAGCUGAGGCUCGAAAGCGUGGGGAGCAAACAGGAUUAGAUACCCUGGUAGUCCACGCCGUAAACGAUGGGUACUAGGUGUAGGAGGUAUCGACUCCUCCUGUGCCGCCGUUAACACAAUAAGUACCCCGCCUGGGGAGUACGGUCGCAAGAUUAAA